AAGCCCAGCACCGAACCUCGCACCCCCGGGUGUCGCGGAAUGUGGUGUUCAGGAGGACCGUGCGCGUCUGUCCGGUAUCGUCCAAGUCUCCAUGAAUGGGGCCAGCAACCCAGAGAGGGUGUCAGGCCCGUGGGACGAGCCGCGACCGUGUAUUGGGUCUCUCCUUAGAGUCGGGUUGCUUGAGAGUGCAGCCCUAAGCGGGAGGUAAACUCCUUCUAAGGCUAAAUACGGCCACGAGACCGAURGCGAACAAGUACCGCGAGGGAAAGUUGAAAAGAACUUUGAAGAGAGAGUUCAAUAGUGCGUGAAACCGUUCAGGGGGUUAAACGGGUGGGCCCUCGAAGGUCGAACGCCCCCUACUCCUGUUCCUGUAGCGCUGGCACGUGCUGCUUUUCGAUCUCGCUACGAGACGGAGCUUGGUGCGGUAUGCCGGACUGCAGGGGCCGCUAGUUAGGGGGCCAGUAGGACUCCGCAACCGGCUGGGUUUUUAAGUCGUCAGAAGGGUUCUGGAGGAAGCCUCCUCUGGGGGUGAAAUCCGGGAUUCCGGGCGAUCUUCCCGGCCGUGAACCAGAAUUCCCCCGUCUGGCGUCUGGGACGAGUUCUGGCAACAGGACUGUCGGUUCUGGGCGUCACCGUGGGGACACCGCGGAGAGUAGAGUCGGGUCCCACCCGACCCGUCUUGAAACACGGACCAAGGAGUCUAACAUGUGCGCGAGUCGUCGGGUACUACUAAACCCGAARGCGCAAUGAAAGUGAAGACUGUGCCUCGUCGCCGGUCUAGGGGAGAUCCCG
rnacentral:rRNA from 1 species